GUUGUAUAGUCAAGUAAUUAAGUGCAUGUGGUGGAUGCCUUGGCAGUCAGAGGCGAUGAAAGACGUGAUAGCCUGCGAAAAGCUCCGGGGAGGCGGCAAAUAUCCUUUGAUCCGGAGAUGUCUGAAUGGGGGAACCCACCUACUUUAAGGUAGGUAUUGCAACAUGAAUACAUAGUGUUGCAAGGCGAACGAGGGGAAGUGAAACAUCUCAGUACCCUUAGGAAAAGAAAUCAAUUGAGAUUCCCUCAGUAGCGGCGAGCGAACGGGGAUCAGCCCAUUAAGUUAUGUGUGUUUUAGUGGAACGCUCUGGGAAGUGCGAACGUAGAGGGUGAUAUUCCCGUACACGAAAGGGCACACAUAAUGAUGACGAGUAGGGCGAGGCACGUGAAACCUUGUCUGAAUAUGGGGGACCAUCCUCCAAGGCUAAAUACUCCUGACUGACCGAUAGUGAACCAGUACCGUGAGGGAAAGGCGAAAAGAACCCCUGUGAGGGGAGUGAAAUAGAUCCUGAAACCGCAUGCAUACAAGCAGUGGGAGCACCUUCGUGGUGUGACUGCGUACCUUUUGUAUAAUGGGUCAGCGACUUAUAUUCAGUAGCGAGGUUAACCGUAUAGGGGAGCCGUAGAGAAAUCGAGUCUUAAUAGGGCGUUUAGUUGCUGGGUAUAGACCCGAAACCAGGCGAUCUAUCCAUGAGCAGGUUGAAGGUUGGGUAACACUAACUGGAGGACCGAACCCACUGUCGUUGAAAAGCCAGGGGAUGACUUGUGGAUAGGGGUGAAAGGCUAAUCAAGCCUGGUGAUAGCUGGUUCUCCCCGAAAGCUAUUUAGGUAGCGCCUCGGACGAAUACCAUAGGGGGUAGAGCACUGUUUCGGCUAGGGGGUCAUCCCGACUUACCAAACCGAUGCAAACUCCGAAUACCUAUGAGUACUAUCCGGGAGACAGACUGCGGGUGCUAACGUCCGUAGUCAAGAGGAAAACAAUCCAGACCGCCAGCUAAGGCCCCAAAAUCAUAGUUAAGUGGGAAACGAUGUGGGAAGGCAUAGACAGCUAGGAGGUUGGCUUAGAAGCAGCCACCCUUUAAAGAAAGCGUAAUAGCUCACUAGUCGAGUCGGCCUGCGCGGAAGAUGUAACGGGGCUAAAACUAUGUGCCGAAGCUGCGGAUGUAUACUUUGUAUACGUGGUAGGGGAGCGUUCUGUAAGCCGAUGAAGGUGUGUUGAGAAGCAUGCUGGAGGUAUCAGAAGUGCGAAUGCUGACGUGAGUAACGACAAAACGGGUGAAAAACCCGUUCGCCGAAAGACCAAGGGUUCCAGUCCAACGUUAAUCGGGGCUGGGUGAGUCGACCCCUAAGGCGAGGCCGAAAGGCGUAGUCGAUGGGAAAAUGGUUAAUAUUCCAUUACUUCUGUGUAAUGCGAUGAGAGGACGGAGAAGGCUAAAUCAGCCUGGCGUUGGUUGUCCAGGUGAAAGGAUGUAGGCAUGUAUCUUAGGCAAAUCCGGGGUACUCUAUGCUGAGAUCUGAUAGCAAGCUGUACUUGUACAGCGAAGUGGUUGAUGCCAUGCUUCCAGGAAAAGUCUCUAAGCUUCAGUUACACAGGAAUCGUACCCGAAACCGACACAGGUGGUCAGGUCGAGUAGACCAAGGCGCUUGAGAGAACUCUGCUGAAGGAACUAGGCAAAAUGGUACCGUAACUUCGGGAGAAGGUACGCUGUUGUUGGUGAUGGAACUCGCUUCCUGAGCUGACGACAGCCGCAGAAACCAGGCCGCUGCAACUGUUUAUUAAAAACAUAGCACUCUGCAAACACGAAAGUGGACGUAUAGGGUGUGAUGCCUGCCCGGUGCUGGAAGGUUAAUUGAUGGGGUUAGCGUAAGCGAAGCUCUUGAUCGAAGCCCCAGUAAACGGCGGCCGUAACUAUAACGGUCCUAAGGUAGCGAAAUUCCUUGUCGGGUAAGUUCCGACCUGCACGAAUGGCAUAAUGAUGGCGGCGCUGUCUCCAGCAGAGGCUCAGUGAAAUCGAAAUCGCUGUGAAGAUGCAGUGUACCCGCGGCUAGACGGAAAGACCCGUGAACCUUUACUGCAGCUUGACACUGAACUUUGACCUUACUUGUGUAGGAUAGGUGGGAGGCUUUGAAGCUGGAACGCUAGUUCCAGUGGAGCCGUCCUUGAAAUACCACCCUGGUAAUGUUGAGGUUCUAACUCUGUCCCGUGAUCCGGGACGAGGACCGUGUCUGGUGGGUAGUUUGACUGGGGCGGUCUCCUCCUAAAGAGUAACGGAGGAGUACGAAGGUGCGCUCAGCGUGGUCGGAAAUCACGCGUAGAGUAUAAAGGCAAAAGCGCGCUUAACUGCGAGACCCACAAGUCGAGCAGGUACGAAAGUAGGUCUUAGUGAUCCGGUGGUUCUGUAUGGAAGGGCCAUCGCUCAACGGAUAAAAGGUACUCUGGGGAUAACAGGCUGAUACCGCCCAAGAGUUCAUAUCGACGGCGGUGUUUGGCACCUCGAUGUCGGCUCAUCUCAUCCUGGGGCUGAAGCAGGUCCCAAGGGUAUGGCUGUUCGCCAUUUAAAGAGGUACGCGAGCUGGGUUUAGAACGUCGUGAGACAGUUCGGUCCCUAUCUACCGUGGGCGCUGGAAAUUUGAGAGGAUCUGCUCCUAGUACGAGAGGACCAGAGUGGACGAACCUCUGGUGUACCGGUUGUGACGCCAGUCGCAUCGCCGGGUAGCUAUGUUCGGAAGGGAUAACCGCUGAAAGCAUCUAAGCGGGAAGCCUACCUCAAGAUAAGAUUUCCCUAGGACUUUAUGUCCUCUAAAGAGCCGUUCGAGACUAGGACGUUGAUAGGUUGGAUGUGGAAGCAUAGUGAUAUGUGAAGCUGACCAAUACUAAUUGCUCGUGAGGCUUGACUAUACAACACCCAAGCAGUUG
rnacentral:rRNA from 1 species